rnacentral:rRNA from 1 species
UACGGGGGGUGCGAGCGUUGUCCGGAUUCACUGGGCGUAAAGGGCGCGUAGGCGGCUUACUCAGUCCAAUCUUCAAGCGCGGGGCUCACCCCCGCGAAGGGUUGGGGACGGGUGGGCUGGGGGUCGGUCGAGGGAAGCGGAAUGCCGGGUGUAGUGGUGAAAUGCGUAGAGAUCCGGCGGAACACCGGUGGUGAAGACGGCUUCCUGGGCCGAGCCCGACGCUGAGGCGCGAGAGCGCGGGGAGCGAACCGG